UCCCAGCUGCAGCCGGACGCGGAUGACGGGCUUCCACCGACCACCGCUGGCUGCGCUCAAGGCCAAGGCCAAUUGCACGACUGGUGCAGCUGUCGAGCCUGCUGCGCCUUAUCUAGGUGCAUUUGUUGGUCAUGAAUAUGAAAGGUGCGAGAAGAUUGCUGUUGCUGCUUCUUUAGCAUAUGAAUGUGUUGAAAUGGCUACUCAAGGCUGCAUACCACAAGUACCCUAUUCCAAGCAAGUAUCGCCAGGUGUUUCAGGCAGUUGUAAAGACACCAGGUCUUAGAAGAAAGUUCUAACGGCAGGUUUUGAUCCACCUAGAUCUCGAUGGUGCUGGAGCCUCUAAUUGAAGAAAGGAACUUGUGUUGUCACUGUGGCCCUACAUUUUGUGCUGACUGCUCAAGAUUGCCAGGUAGCAGCCUAUUUGCUGUGUAAUGUACUGCUAUGCAGCCUACUCAGAAGAGAUCCCUGAACCAUAUCUGAAUGGGGCAUCAGUUCCCAUUCCCUUUAAUGUACUUUUAAAAGGUUCAAAGUACCAUCUCUAUUUUUGUGCAAGGGGGACUUUUUUCUAGUAUUGACCAGUUGCUACUUUCGUAUUUGUUCAGGAGUUGGCUGAACUUGUGCACAAGGUCCAUUUGCUUUGCCGGCUAGCAAGGGUUGGGGUAGUUGACAUGGCUUGCAAUGGGCCUCUAAUUCAGGCUUCAGUUCUCUGUUUCACCACACGACUUGCUGUGGAAUGGUGUAGACAUUCAGAAACUGGCUAAUAACCUCCUUAGUCUUGUGAGCUGGGGGAUCUUUCAAAUGAAAUAUGGCUUUCGCACUUCAAGUCAUGUAGGCACGACUGAAGAGGUAUUGUAUCUGCUCCCUUACGACUGUGCUUGCUGAAGGAAUUGGCUCCACCUCUUCCUUUUCAGAUUUAAGAACCGUGUAAUUUUGAAAGAGCGUAAUCUUAUUCCGUUGCGCUACAAGCUAUUUUUCCGUUUGACAUACCUGCACCACCGAACCGCGUGGCGCUAACAAUAAUCAUACAAAACAGGAUCAUAAACCAUACAACGGAGAGUGCUAGUUCAGUGCGUGCCCUGCCCACCUCAUUGAAUUGCUUUGAGAUGAACCUGGUAUAAGAGCAUGUCUAAGAGCAGGUCUAACAGACCCCGUAAAAGGGGCAAACCCGUAUAAUAACCGCCGGUUUGAGGGUUUCGGCUCUACCCGGCCAUCUAGCACGUCCCGUAAAAACGGCUCCC